AACGAACGCUGGCGGCAUGCCUAACACAUGCAAGUCGAACGAGACCUUCGGGUCUAGUGGCGCACGGGUGCGUCACGCGUGGGAACCUGCCCUUAGGCUCGGAAUACCACCCCGAAGGGGGUGCUAAUACCGGAUAAUGUCUUCGAACCAAAGAUGUAUCGCGCUUGGAUGGGCCGGCGUUGUAUUAGCUAGUGGGUAGGGUAAAAGCCUACCACGGCGACGAUCCAUAGCUGGUCUGAGAGGAUGGUCAGCCACACUGGGACGGAGACCCGGCCGGGACUCCUACGGGAGGGGGGAGAGGGGAAUAUUGCACAACCGCCGGAAGCAUGAUCCAGUUCUGCCGGGUGAGUGAUGAAGGCCUUAGGGUUGUAAAGCUCUUUUACCCGGGAUGAUAAUGACAGUACCGAGAGAAUAAGCUCCGGCUAACUCCGUG
rnacentral:rRNA from 1 species